rnacentral:tRNA from 1 species
AGUUAAUGAACUUGUAAAAGUAUAUAUUUUGAAAAUAUAAUAAAGGGUAAAACCCUAUUAACUU